CAGAAACUUUCUAUUUGAAGAUGAAAAAGCUCUCCUAAACACAAACCCGUCACUGUAAAUUGGUUUUGAUAGGACAAAGGAACUUUGAAGAUCAGAUAGAACAAGGCUUAGCAAAUUUUUUGUGAAGGGCUAAACAGUAAAUAUUUUAGGCUUGCAGGCCAUACAGUAUCUGUCACAAGUAGUCAACUUUGCUGUUAUGACAUCAAACCAGGCAGACAAUAAACUUAAUUUAUGGGCAAUGAAGUUUGAAUUUCUGUUUCAUGUGCAAUGAAAUAUUAUUCUUUAAAAUUUUUCCCCAAAAUAUUAAAAAUUUCUUAGCUCAUUGGCUCUACAAAAACAGGUGGUAAGGCACAUUUGGCCAAAGGACCAGAGUGAUCCAAUCCCUGAGAUGGAUGAUGAACUCUUGGUAUAUAAAUAUAUAUAUAUAUUCCAUUCCUACUCAGGUAUGUGCUCUGUGAAGGCUGUUUGAUGGCAAUUAGAUUUGCAAAACAGUUAUUUCUAAUGAUACUCAAGCCCACUGUCAUUUUCACUGAAUGUGACUGCUGUCAGCCAAAACAAGUGCUGUAAGAACCAUUUUGGGUAGUAUCUUGUGAGGACCUCAUGAAAUAGGAGCUUGAAGAUACGUUUUAACAGUGAGUUGUAUUGAAGGAUUUGGUACUCUGUCUCUUUACUUACUUUCUGCCUCAUUGAUAUCAAACCAUUCAUCCAGUCAUUUAUUCACUUAGUCAUUCUUUUAUUUAUUCUAUCAUUCCACAUUAAAUGCCAAGAAUUUUCCUAAAGCACUGGAGAAACAGGUGAGUUAGACAGGAUUCCUGAGCUACAAGAACUUAUAAUAGCUGUGGAACUGAGAAACUAAUAGAGGAUUCCCUGUGAUAUGUGUGAAAUAUAGGAGAAUCCCAGAACACCAUGGAAGAGGAAAGAUUCCUUGGCAAGACAGGAAGUACAAUGAAGACCUCAGAGAAAAUAAUCUAUUUAAGGCACUUUAAGUAUGUAAAAGGGUGUAUGGCACAUAGUAGGCUCUUACCAUUAUGUAUGCUAUCAUCUUUAUUAUUAUUAUGUGCUUGUAUAUAUUAA
rnacentral:lncRNA from 12 species